AGUGAACGCUGGCGGUAGGCCUAACACAUGCCAGUCGAACGGCAGCACAGUAAGAGCUUGCUCUUACGGGUGGCGAGUGGCGGACGGGUGAGGAAUACAUCGGAACCUACUUUUUCGUGGGGGAUAACGUAGGGAAACUUACGCUAAUACCGCAUACGACCUACGGGUGAAAGCAGGGGAUCUUCGGACCUUGCGCGAUUGAAUGAGCCGAUGUCGGAUUAGCUAGUUGGCGGGGUAAAGGCCCACCAAGGCGACGAUCCGUAGCUGGUCUGAGAGGAUGAUCAGCCACACUGGGACUGAGACACGGUCCAGACUCCUACGGGAGGCAGCAGUGGGGAAUAUUGGACAAUGGGCGCAAGCCUGAUCCAGCCAUACCGCGUGGGUGAAGAAGGCCUUCGGGUUGUAAAGCCCUUUUGUUGGGAAAGAAAAGCAGCAGGUUAAUACCCCGCUGUUCUGACGGUACCCAAAGAAUAAGCACCGGCUAACUUCGUG
rnacentral:rRNA from 1 species